rnacentral:rRNA from 1 species
UCGGGAAUUUUGGGCAAUGGGCGAAAGCCUGACCCAGCAACGCCGCGUGAGGGAUGAAGUAUUUCGGUAUGUAAACCUCGAAAGAAUGGGAAGAGUAAAUGACGGUACCAUUUAUAAGCUCCGGCUAACUACGUGCCAGCAGCCGCGGUAAUACGUAGGGAGCAAGCGUUAUUCGGAUUUACUGGGCGUAAAGGGCGCGUAGGCGGCGCGGUAAGUCACUUGUGAAAUCUCUGAGCUUAACUCAGAACGGCCAAGUGAUACUGCUGUGCUAGAGUGCGGAAGAGGCAACCGGAAUUCUUGGUGUAGCGGUGAAAUGCGUAGAUAUCAAGAGGAACACCUGAGGCGAAGGCGGGUUGCUGGGCCGACACUGACGCUGAUGCGCGAAAGCCAGGGGAGCAAACG